CCAGGAGAUGGAUCAUCGGGUGAAGACCAGUGUGGUGGACCAACUGUCAGACGAGAGUUGCAGUUUGUUACAGAGAACGUGCUGAGUGAGGAUGAGUGCAAGGAAGCAAUCUCUCUGAUGAAACAUUCAGCUGAUGAAGACACAGUCAAGAAGAAGAUGAAGUUGACAUUUGUUUAUCGACACAACAUGGUCCUUGACCCCCUGCUGUCAAGCAACAUACUGUCUGUGUUUCCACGUUUCAAAGAUAUCAAAGGCUUGAUUGAACAGGAUUUUGUACUGAUGUUUGGUGAGGAUGUAUCAGGCAGGUUGCUGGAGAGGUGGCCAACAACAUUCAAAAGAAAGAUUAUCCAACAAGGCAGAAAGCUUCCUUCUACCAGUGACCUGGAAGAACUCUUGCUGGCAGCUGACUCUCCUGAGGAUGCCACUGAAGUUAAUGCUGACAUUGGCUGGGACAGUGACCUCUCAGCGAUUCUAUUGCUAUUACAUUUGAUUCCACCAUCUGGUCAGGGUCGGAAGAGACCAGGAAAGGUGUCAGCUUCUCAAGCAGAAAGGCAUCUUGUGGUCUUCAAGAAGACUGGAACAAAUAUCCAAGAGCACCUUGAUGCCAUCACUACCAGCACUCAACCCUACCUCCUGGCUGUUGGGGUGAAAAAGCAUGACAUCCACCAGUUCUUCAUUAUUCUUGACAAGAAUGCCAUACCAUGCAAGUCUACCUCUUCACUUGGUGCUUUUGAUGAACUGUUUAAAGCACAUUUUGUGUUUGGCACAUCUUACAACACCAUGCUUCACAACAUGUACACAUUCAUCCAAACCACUGUGUACAAUAUAGAUGUUGGCAAAAUCAAAGAAAGUCCCAGAGUUGCUGAAAUAAGGACAAGGUUGCUUCGUUAGGGCUUGAAGGUUAAUUCUCCAUCAUGAAGUGUUUUGUCUGUCAGGCUGAGUUUACUGGUUCAAACAUGCUUGUUAGGCAUUUACGGUUAGUCCAUGGUUACUUACCCGGAAGAAAUCUUCGCCUUAAAUGUGCCCAGCGUGACUGUGGCUGUGUGUUUGGCACUUUUUCAGGUUUUAGAAAACAUUUAAAUACCAAACACCUUAACUAUUUCGACCAACAGGCUGACACUGAUGUUAAUUUACAGCCUGAUGUGGCAAUUAAAGAAGUUAUCACUACAGGGCAGGUGGUGUCAACUAAUGUAGAAGAAACACCCACAACAUCUGAAAUGUUGAAAAGUUCAAAUAAGAGCACUUUGGAUAUGUGUGCCUCUACUGUUGCACAGCUCAGGGCAGCUGGAUUAAGCCAAUCUACUGUGAAUAGUUUUGUCUCCUCAAUGGAGGAAGUGUUUUUUGAGAUUCAUACUCAGGCUAAAGAUGCAGCUUUACAGAGCUUACCUUCACAGGACACUUCAAGUAAAAAGAAAUUAGAGCAGUCAUUCAAAAACUUUGAAAACCCAUUCACACUGUUAAAUUCAGAAGCUAAACGAAAUAGGCACUUUAAACAAAAAUGGGCAACUGUUGAACCUGUUGAAAUGGUGCUUGGCACAAGAUUUGACAGUAGAAGAAACAAGAUCACAGGGACUUUUGAUCAAGUCAUUGUAACCGAUAGGUUUGCAUAUGUUCCUAUUUUGGAAACACUGAAAACUAUCUUUCAAAACCACCAUGUUGUCGACAUGUUCAAGUCGAGGAAUAUGUCCAGAGAAGGUGUGUAUGCAGACUUAAUCGAUGCUGCCUAUGUUAAAAGAUGUCCCCUAUUUUCUGCAGAAAAAGAUGCCUUACAAAUUCAACUGUUUUAUGAUGACUUUGAAACUGCAAAUCCCCUGGGCUCUAAAAAGGGUGUACAUAAAUUAGGUGCAAUAUACUUUACACUAAGGAAUUUUCCUCCAAUCUUUAAUUCGUUGUUGGUCAAUAUUCAUUUGUGUGCUCUUUUUCAUGCACAAGACUCAAAGCGUUAUGGCUUUAAUUCAAUCCUUGAGCCACUUGUCAAUGAUCUGAAAGUUCUUGAGACAGAGGGACUGAAACUUCCCAUGUUUAAACACUUGGUUCAUGGCACUGUAAUCCAGGUCACUGGGGACAAUCUUGGCUUGCAUAGUCUGUUUGGGUUCGUGGA
ensembl:lncRNA